UGUGAAUCUCCUAAGAGCUGAGUGCCAAAG
rnacentral:piRNA from 1 species